UACGGAGGGAGCUAGCGUUGUUCGGAAUUACUGGGCGUAAAGCGUACGUAGGCGGCUAUUCAAGUCAGAGGUGAAAGCCCGGGGCUCAACCCCGGAACUGCCUUUGAAACUAGGUAGCUAGAGUCUUGGAGAGGUUAGUGGAAUUCCGAGUGUAGAGGUGAAAUUCGUAGAUAUUCGGAAGAACACCAGUGGCGAAGGCGACUCACUGGACAUGUAUUGACGCUGAGGUGCGAAAGCGUGGGGAGCAAACAGG
rnacentral:rRNA from 1 species